UACCAGAUGAUAUGUGUUGAUGUGUAUUUAUAGUUUGUGUCCACGUGUUUGCAGAGUUAUCGAUUUAUUUUUCUCUCUUGAUAUUGGAUGUGAAUGGUAUGACACGCUGUCGAUAUCGAAAGGAAAACACCGGAGAUGAAAAUCAAAUGUGUGAAUAAGAAAAGAGUAAUAUAUAUCUACUGAAUGUAUGUCACCAUGUUAAAG
rnacentral:lncRNA from 1 species